rnacentral:rRNA from 1 species
AGCACCGGCUAACUCCGUGCCAGCAGCCGCGGUAAUACGGAGGGUGCGAGCGUUAAUCGGAAUUACUGGGCGUAUAGCGCAUGCAGGUGGUUUGUUAAGGGGGAUGUGAAAGCCCGGGGCUCAACCUCGGAAUAGCAUAUGAAACUGGCAGACUAGAGUACUGUAGAGGGGGGUAGAAUUUCAGGUGUAGCGGUGAAAUGCGUAGAGAUCUGAAGGAAUACCGGUGGCGAAGGGGGCCCCCUGGACAGAUACUGACACUCAGAUGCGAAAGCGUGGGGAGCAAACAGGAUUAGAUACCCUGGUAGUCCACGCCGUCCCCGAUGUCUACUUGGAGGUUGUGGCCUUGAGCCGUGGCUUUCGGAGCUAACGCGUUAAGUAGACCGCCUGGGGAGUACGGUCGCAAGAUUUAAACUCAAAUGAAUUGACGACGUCCCGCACAAGCGGUGGAGCAUGUGGUUUAAUUCGAUGCAACGCGAAGAACCUUACCUACUCUUGACAUCCAGAGAACUUUCCAGAGAUGGAUUGGUGCCUUCGGGAACUCUGAGACAGGU